UACGUAGGGGGCAAGCGUUGUCCGGAAUCAUUGGGCGUAAAGAGCGUGUAGGCGGCCCGAUAAGUCCGCUGUGAAAGUCCAGGGCUCAACCCUGGAAUGCCGGUGGAUACUGUCGGGCUCGAAUCCGGAAGAGGUGAGUGGAAUUCCUGGUGUAGCGGUGAAAUGCGCAGAUAUCAGGAGGAACACCAAUGGCGAAGGCAGCUCACUGGGACGGUAUUGACGCUGAGACGCGAAAGCGUGGGGAGCAACAGG
rnacentral:rRNA from 1 species